rnacentral:rRNA from 1 species
UGUCUCACCUACCGGAAACGGAAGCUAAUACCGAAUAGUUGUUUUCUUCGCCUGAAGGAAACUGGAAAGACGGAGCAAUCUGUCACUUGGGGUUGGGCCUGCGGCGCAUUAGCUAGUUGGUGAGGUAACGGCUCACCAAGGCGACGAUGCGUAGCCGACCUGAGAGGGUGAUCGGCCACACUGGGACUGAGACACGGCCCAGACUCCUACGGGAGGCAGCAGUAGGGAAUCUUCCGCAAUGGGCGAAAGCCUGACGGAGCAAUGCCGCGUGAGUGAUGAAGGUUUUCGGAUCGUAAAGCUCUGUUGCCAGGGAAGAACGCUUGGGAGAGUAACUGCUCUCAAGGUGACGGUACCUGAGAAGAAAGCCCCGGCUAACUACGUGCCAGCAGCCGCGGUAAUACGUAGGGGGCAAGCGUUGUCCGGAAUUAUUGGGCGUAAAGCGCGCGCAGGCGGUCAUUUAAGUCUGGUGUUUUAUUCCCGGGGCUCAACCCCGGAUCGCACUGGAUACUGGGUGACUUGAGUGCAGAAGAGGAGAGUGGAAUUCCACGUGUAGCGGUGAAUAUGCGUAGAUAUGUGGAGGUAUCACCUAGUGGCGUAGGGCGACUCUCUGGGCUGUAACUGACGCUGAGGCGCGAUAGCGUGGGGAGCUAUACAGGAUUAGAUACCCUGGUAGUCCACGCCGUAAACGAUGAGUGCUAGGUGUUAGGGGUUUCGAUACCCUUGGUGCCGAAGUUAACACAUUAAGCACUCCGCCUGGGGAGUACGGUCGCAAGACUGAAACUCAAAGGAAUUGACGGGGACCCGCACAAGCAGUGGAGUAUGUGGUUUAAUUCGAAGCAACGCGAAGAACCUUACCAGGUCUUGACAUCCCUCUGAUCGAUGCAGAGAUGUAUCUUUCCUUCGGGACAGAGGAGACAGGUGGUGCAUGGUUGUCGUCAGCUCGUGUCGUGAGAUGUUGGGUUAAGUCCCGCAACGAGCGCAACCCUUAUAUUUAGUUGCCAGCAUUUCGGGUGGGCACUCUAGAUAGACUGCCGGUGACAAACCGGAGGAAGGUGGGGAUGACGUCAAAUCAUCAUGCCCCUUAUGACCUGGGCUACACACGUACUACAAUGGCCGGUACAACGGGCUGCGAAAUCGCGAGAUGGAGCCAAUCCCAACAAAGCCGGUUUCAGUUCGGAUUGCAGGCUGCAACUCGCCUGCAUGAAGUCGGAAUU